rnacentral:rRNA from 1 species
AUUGAACGCUGGCGGAAUGCUUUACACAUGCAAGUCGAACGGCAGCACGGGUGCUUGCACCUGGUGGCGAGUGGCGAACGGGUGAGUAAUGCGUCGGAACGUGCCGAGUAAUGGGGGAUAACGCAGCGAAAGUUGUGCUAAUACCGCAUACGCCCUGAGGGGGAAAGUGGGGAUCGCAAGACCUCACGUUAUUCGAGCGGCCGACGUCUGAUUAGCUAGUUGGUGGGGUAAAGGCCUACCAAGGCGACGAUCAGUAGCGGGUCUGAGAGGAUGAUCCGCCACACUGGGACUGAGACACGGCCCAGACUCCUACGGGAGGCAGCAGUGGGGAAUUUUGGACAAUGGGAGCAACCCUGAUCCAGCCACUUCCGCGUGAGUGAAGAAGGACCGUCGGUU